GAUGGUUGGCCUUGAGAUCUUCCCAGUUCAGCAGGAGCACUCAGGAUGGCACAGAAUUCAGUAGCAGUUCUGCUCGUGAGCUAACUGGAUAUUGUAUUCAGCAUUACACACUUGGAGAGCACUGGCAGCCCACAGAUGAAGGAGCACCUACAUUAACAGCACCAGAUCCAAUUGUGUCUGGAAAAUUCAGGUUUGGUAUGCUGUCAGCUACUGAGGCCAGACCAGAUCUCAUGUGUAGAGAUGCAAACAUUCACUGCAGUGAUUUCACAUCUGCCUGCUUCCCCUUGUGUGCCAAAGCAGAGCCCUUCCCAUUGCAAGACAGCCAGGCCUCCUCCGCUACAUCUUCAUGGGCAUAUCCUCAUCUCUUCCUCCCAAAGAGUGAGUCCUUUACCACUGCAAGCAGCAAUACCCUGACAAGAACAGUCACAUGGGAGAGGGUUCCUGUUCUUCCACUAAUUAAUGGGGACAAGGCAGAAUGCCAGGGCAGACCCUCAGAUACACGAGUUGCCCAGGUCUGCCUCUCCCCUCUGGAGCUGCAGACACGUUGCAGACAGGAGUAGCUCAGGGUGCAAGCUGUUGUAAUUUACAAACACUCUGUGUGGGAGUCAGCUACACCUGCCUCUUGGGGAAUACCAACAUAAUUGGCAUCUCUGCUGAUGGGGGCAUUCCUGUAAAGCAGGCAGACUGACAGAAUGACGUUAUGGUGAAUACAUAAAUGAAGAGAAACUGUAUUCUGAUAUGCACAAAUUUGCAUGGAAAUAUACACAUGUAAAUAUAUUUUGGGUCUGCUUUU